rnacentral:lncRNA from 1 species
ACCUGGCUGCUUCCACACUGGACCACGAGGCUUGUAACACAAUAUUCAGAAAAACUGUAUACAAAUCUUGUAGGAUUUUCUCUUUAGCUUGAAAGCUCUGAAAUUUGGCAAUUAUAUAUCUGGGAGUAGUUUUUUUUUUGGGGGGGGUUAGUGUAGAGUGUUUUCUAUGAACUCUUUCAAUGUCUAUUUUCCUCCCUUGUUCUAGAACUUCAGGGUAGUUUUCUUGGAUGAUCUCUUGGAGUAUGGUGUCAAGAUUUCUGCUUAUUUCUUGCUUUUCAGUUUCUGUCCUUUCCUUGGGACCAUCAGAGAAGUUUACAUAUUUUAUAUCAAAUUUUAUAUCAAAUCAUUGGGCCACUCUCUCUCACACAUGUUUGAGUUAUGGGAAGAAGUUAAGAAGCUAUGAUGGCCAAAAGAAUGAGAAAGAAGCACUAUGAAGUCAUGAAGGAGGAGGAAAAGGUCACCAGUAUAUCUAGUUUUAUCAAAAAGUUCAAAGAGACAGUGAACAAGACUGAAGUGCCUUGGAGGAAAGGAGAAUCACCUUUGGAAAAAUCAAAAGUGCUUGCCUGUAGGCUGUUCCACGAGAAUACCAAACUAUCCAUUUAACAGAGUUGUUCUAUUGGUGAUGCUACAUUGGCAUUAAUCUUGGGCUACCAUCAUCUUUGAAGAAUGAGUUUCUUAUAACUCAAAGUGCAACAGAGAAAUUCAUGAUUGACCCAAGUAGACUGUGGAACAUUGCCAAGGGCUAGGUGUAUUCAAGAUAUGGAAUGUACUGGAACUAUGAUGAUAUAUUAUGUUGGGUUAGUCAUUCAGUGUAAAUGAGAAAUAACUGACAAGUAGCUGAGUGUUAGGGCAAUAAGUUAGUGUAGUAGAUAGAGUGCUAGGCCUGAAGUUAGGAAACUCAAUUUUAUGGGUUCAUCUCUGGCCUUAGAAACUUAUUGGAUUGUGUUCCUGGGCAAGUCAAUGAACCGUGUUUGCCUCUGUUUCUCAACUGUAAAAGUGGCUAGAGGAUGAAUUGGCAGACCACUCUAGAAUCUCAGGAGAACCACAAAUGGAGGGACAGAGAGU